UUUAGGUAGGCUGUCGCACUUCUUGCGG
rnacentral:sRNA from 1 species